UCCAUGGUGGCUCAGUGGUAAAGAAUUUGCCUGCCAAUGCAGAAGACAUGGGUUCAAUUCCUGAUCAGGGAA
rnacentral:tRNA from 1 species